UACGUAGGGGGGCAAGCGUUGUCCGGAAUUAUUGGGCGUAAAGGGCGCGUAGGCGGCCCGCUAAGUCGAACGUGAAAUCCCCCGGGCUCAACCCGGGAACUGCGUCCGAUACUGGUGGGCUCGAAUCCGGGGAGAGGGAUGCGGAAUUCCAGGUGUAGCGGUGAAAUGCGCAGAUAUCAGGAGGAACACCGGUGGCGAAGGCGGAUCUCUGGGCCUUGCCUGACGCUGAGGCGCGAAAGCUAGGGGAGCGAACAGG
rnacentral:rRNA from 1 species